rnacentral:rRNA from 1 species
UACGAAGGGGGCGAGCGUUUGUUCGGAUUUACUGGGCGUAAAGAGUGUGUAGGCGGUGUUCUAAGUUUGUCGUGAAAUCUCCCGGCUUAACUGGGAGGGUGCGGCGAAAACUGGAAUGCUAGAGGAUGGGAGAGGUAAGCGGAAUUCCUGGUGUAGCGGUGAAAUGCGUAGAUAUCAGGAGGAACACCUGUGGUGUAGACAGCUUACUGGACCAUUUCUGACGCUGAGACACGAAAGCGUGGGUAGCAAACAGG